GAUGAACGCUGGCGGCGUGCCUAAUACAUGCGAGUCGAGCGAACGGACGAGAAGCUUGCUUCUCUGAUGUUAGCGGCGGACGGGUGAGUAACACGUGGAUAACCUACCUAUAAGACUGGGAUAACUUCGGGAAACCGGAGCUAAUACCGGAUAAUAUUUUGAACCACAUGGUUCAAAAGUGAAAGACGGUCUUGCUGUCACUUAUAGAUGGAUCCGCGCUGCAUUAGCUAGUUGGUAAGGUAACGGCUUACCAAGGCAACGAUGCAUAGCCGACCUGAGAGGGUGAUCGGCCACACUGGAACUGAGACACGGUCCAGACUCCUACGGGAGGCAGCAGUAGGGAAUCUUCCGCAAUGGGCGAAAGCCUGACGGAGCAACGCCGCGUGAGUGAUGAAGGUCUUCGGAUCGUAAAACUCUGUUAUUAGGGAAGAACAUAUGUGUAAGUAACUGUGCACAUCUUGACGGUACCUAAUCAGAAAGCCACGGCUAACUACGUG
rnacentral:rRNA from 1 species